rnacentral:rRNA from 1 species
UAACACGUAAACAACCUGCCUUCAAGAUGGGGACAACAGACGGAAACGACUGCUAAUACCGAAUACGAUCCGAAAGUCGCAUGACAUUUGGAUGAAAGGGUGGCCUAUCGAAGAAGCUAUCGCUUGAAGAGGGGUUUGCGUCCGAUUAGGUAGUUGGUGAGGUAACGGCCCACCAAGCCGACGAUCGGUAGCCGGUCUGAGAGGAUGAACGGCCACACUGUAACUGAGACACGGUCCAGACUCCUACGGGAGGCAGCAGCA